rnacentral:rRNA from 1 species
AUUGAACGCUGGCGGCAGGCCUAACACAUGCAAGUCGAACGAGUGGCGGACGGGUGAGUACUGUCUGGGAAACUGCCCGAUGGAGGGGGAUAACUACUGGAAACGGUAGCUAAUACCGCAUACCAUCGGAUGUGCCCCGAUGGGAUUAGCUAGUAGGUGGGGUAAAGGCUCACCUAGGCGACUAUCCCUAGCUGGUCUGAGAGGAUGACCAGCAACACUGGAAAUGAGACACGGUCCAGACUCCGACGUGAGGCAGCAGUGGGGAAUAUUGCACAAUGGGCGCAAGCCGGAUGCAGCCAUGCCGCGGGUAUGAAGAAGGCCUUCGGGUUGUAAAGUACGUGCAGCGAGGAGGCGUUACUCGCAGAAGAAGCACCGGCUAACUCCGUGCCAGCAGCCGCGGUAAGUC